GACGAGUGGCGGACGGGUGAGUAAUGCUUGGGAACUUGCCUUUGCGAGGGGGAUAACAGUUGGAAACGACUGCUAAUACCGCAUAAUGUCUUCGGACCAAACGGGGCUUAGGCUCCGGCGCAAAGAGAGGCCCAAGUGAGAUUAGCUAGUUGGUAAGGUAACGGCUUACCAAGGCUACGAUGAUUAGGGGGCCUGAGAGGGUGAUCCCCCACACUGGUACUGAGAUACGGACCAGACUCCUACGGGAGGCAGCAG
rnacentral:rRNA from 1 species